rnacentral:misc_RNA from 1 species
AAGUCGUAACAAGGUUCCGUAGGUGAACCUGCGGAAGGAUCAUUAACAACAUAUCCUAACUUAAAACCCUGUGAACUUUCAACCCCAAAUCGCUUGAUCCCAGUACCUCAGCAAUCUCUGGUAAAUCAUAGUGAACAGCUUUGAUUCAGAGACCUCUGAACUACUUACAAGAUUUCCCAAUUAGUGAAAGCUAUUGGGCUAUAACUAAACGACUGUUAACAAUGGAUAUCUCGAUUCUC